GAUGAACGCUGACAGAAUGCUUAACACAUGCAAGUCAACUUGAAUUUGGGUUUUUUAACUUAGAUUUGGGUGGCGGACGGGUGAGUAACGCGUAAAGAACUUGCCUCACAGCUAGGGACAACAUAUGGAAACGAAUGCUAAUACCUGAUAUUAUGAUUAUAAGGCAUCUUAGAAUUAUGAAAGCUAUAUGCGCUGUGAGAGAGCUUUGCGUCCCAUUAGCUAGUUGGAGAGGUAACGGCUCACCAAGGCGAUGAUGGGUAGCCGGCCUGAGAGGGUGAACGGCCACAAGGGGACUGAGACACGGCCCUUACUCCUACGGGAGGCAGCAGUGGGGAAUAUUGGACAAUGGACCAAGAGUCUGAUCCAGCAAUUCUGUGUGCACGAUGACGUUUUUCGGAAUGUAAAGUGCUUUCAGUUGGGAAGAAAAAAAUGACGGUACCAACAGAAGAAGUGACGGCUAAAUACGUG
rnacentral:rRNA from 1 species